ACAGCAGUUGUUAUAUUUUUGGUGCACAUGGACUUCUGAUGAAAAAGUUUUGGAAAUAGGGAACCUCCUAUAUCAAUACCUUUUUUAACAAAAUAUCUCAUGUUUACAUAAUCAAUAUUGACUGAUAGAGUAACCACAGUUUAAGAACUACUAGACUAGAACACAAUUUUUAAUAAUAUUUUCUCAUUGAGCUUAAGUAUUUUUUAAUCAAUAAACUACAGUGUUUUACCCCAUUAUUACCAGAGAAUUUUGGUACUAGUGAAAGUAUUUUUGAAACCCUUAGGUUUAUAUAGUUUGGAUGGUGGAAAAUGAUAAAUUAAAUUAAUUAUCUA